rnacentral:rRNA from 1 species
AGAGUUUGAUCCUGGCUCAGGACGAACGCUGGCGGCGUGCUUAACACAUGCAAGUCGAACGGAAAGGCCCUUCGGGGUACUCGAGUGACGAACGGGUGAGUAACACGUGGGUGAUCUGCCCUGCACUUUGGGAUAAGCCUGGGAAACUGGGUCUAAUACCGAAUAUGACCAUGCGCCUCCUGGUGUGUGGUGGAAAGCUUUUGCGGUGUGGGAUGGGCCCGCGGCCUAUCAGCUUGUUGGUGGGGUAAUGGCCUACCAAGGCGACGACGGGUAGCCGGCCUGAGAGGGUGACCGGCCACACUGGGACUGAGAUACGGCCCAGACUCCUACGGGAGGCAGCAGUGGGGAAUAUUGCACAAUGGGCGCAAGCCUGAUGCAGCGACGCCGCGUGAGGGAUGACGGCCUUCGGGUUGUAAACCUCUUUCAGCACAGACGAAGCGCAAGUGACGGUAUGUGCAGAAGAAGGACCGGCCAACUACGUGCCAGCAGCCGCGGUAAUACGUAGGGUCCGAGCGUUGUCCGGAAUUACUGGGCGUAAAGAGCUCGUAGGUGGUUUGUCGCGUUGUUCGUGAAAACUCACAGCUUAACUGUGGGCGUGCGGGCGAUACGGGCAGACUUGAGUACUGCAGGGGAGACUGGAAUUCCUGGUGUAGCGGUGGAAUGCGCAGAUAUCAGGAGGAACACCGGUGGCGAAGGCGGGUCUCUGGGCAGUAACUGACGCUGAGGAGCGAAAGCGUGGGGAGCGAACAGGAUUAGAUACCCUGGUAGUCCAA